CUCUCUCUCUCUCUCUCUCUCUCUCUCUCGCAUCCUCGGAACGUAAACAAACCACAGUGUCUCCUCCGCAGAGUUGAUAUGAAAAGUGGGACGCCUAUUUCUACAUCUGUAAGUUUAGCCUCCCUAUAAUUAGUGAGUGAAGUUCUGGGCUAUUUCUUAUUUAACAUUUGAUGGGCAACAGAUUGCGUCUUCUGCAGCCAUGGCUCCUAUAGCGAAAGAAGCAGAACCCCGAGAAAAGGAACAAAGUAAUAUCAUCAUCUUCGAUGAAUCCAAAGGGGAAAUCUUUAAACUUAGUGAUGGAUUCAAGGUGUUACACAAGAAACUCAAGACCCAGUGGAAGAUUGUCAGUAACCGGGAUGACCUGAACAAAGAGACCCUGGGUCAGGCACGAGCUGUCGUGAUUGCCUGUCCACAUCAGAAAUUUACAGAAGGACAGUUUUCUAUGUUGCGGAGGUUUGUUGAUGAAGGGGGAAGACUGUUGGUCAUGGCAGAAGAAGGAGGUGAAAAAAAGGCCAACACAAACAUAAAUUUCCUUCUUGAAGAAUAUGGUAUUUCUAUCAACAAUGAUUCAGUGGUACGCACUUGCUACUACAAGUAUUUCCACCCCAAGGAGUGCCUCAUUACCAAUGGCAUCCUGAAUCGCGCCAUCCUUGAAGCCUCUGGCAAAAAUAUUCCUGGACUCAUAAUUGAUGAGACAAUUACCAAUAGGUCCAUGUCCUUUAUAUAUCCAUUUGGUUCUACUCUUAACGUUGCCAGGCCAGCUGUAGCUGUCUUGUCCACAGGCAGCAUAUCAUAUCCUUUAAACAGACCUGUUUGUGCCUUUUACGAGCAUCCUAGUAAACAUGGACGAGUUGCUGUCUUGGGUUCAGCCCAUAUGUUUAGUGACCAGUACAUUGACCGUGAAGAAAACAGCAAGAUUAAGGAUGUUAUCUUUCAUUUCCUGACAGCCAAUGACUUCAAGCUCAACCAGAUAGAUGCAGAUGACCCUGAGAUUUCGGAUUAUAACAUGACACCUGACGUCGGGUCUUUAGCUGAAGGUCUACGCACAUGCUUGCAAGAGUCUGAGGAAGUUCCUACUGAUUACACCCAGUUGUUUGACACUCAUUUAACAUCCAUCGAUAUGCAACUAGUUCCUGCAUCUAUUGAUGCUUACAGCAAGGUUAAUGUAAAGCACGAACCAUUGCGUUUAAUCACACCUCAGUUUGAAACUCCUUUGCCACCAUUACAGCCUGCGGUUUUCCCACCUUCAUUUCGUGAGCUGCCUCAUCCAUCCUUAGAGCUCUUCGAUCUUGAUGAGGCUUUCAGUUCAGAGAAGUCUCGGCUAGCUCAGGUGACAAACAAAUGCAAAGAUGAAGACUUGGAAUACUACAUCAGAGAAUGUGGGGAGAUUUUGGGAGUCAUGGCAAAUAUACCUGCAACAUCCAGAAAUGCAAAACAUAUACUAGAAUACAUCUUUACUCAAAUUGUGGAAUUCAAAAAGCUUAAUCAGAUGGAGUAAGCAUAUGUCAAAUUCUUAGUUACACAAGUGAAACAGUAAAUAGGUGACAGGCAAGUCUUCUUCCAUUAGGAUCCAGAUGCAUUCAGCAGGCCUAGAUCAGACAUGGAAGAGCUGUAGAAUGCAUUCUCUUGUGAUAGGUUCAUCUUUUUUGUAAUAUAUAAGAGUUUGGAGGCCCUAGGAUUUCAUUAUUUUUCAUGUCAAAGCCUGACCUCACAUCUUAAAACACAUCACAGAAAAUCCUCACACAAUUGUUGUCAUUUAUUACAGCAAGCAGUAUGCUUAUUUAAAUAUUAAUUUUAUUUGUAUAAUUUUGUAACAAUUAAUUGUUUAAUUAUUGAAAAAGGGCAGAAUUUUGUUAAAAUUAGUUCACUUUUAAAGCACUUCUACAGAGGUGGAUGUCAAUCCUUUUUCAAUAUAUAAUGAAGGAUGCUUUGACAGAACACCAAAUAGAAAGAUUUUUUUCUAGACACUUAACUGCUAAUAAUUUAGUUCUAAACAGUAAUCCAUAUUGUGUAUACUAUCCCUAACUUCACUCAAAAGGUCUUGUCUAGUAAAAAAUUCAUUUCAGUUAUGUAUUCUAGUCAACAUUGAGAUUCAAGAUGUUGAUUCUAGUCAGGUUCUCAGUAUGUAAAUUUUAGUCAAAAGUUAGUUCAAGAAUAUGUACAUUUUAGUAACAAAACCAGCUCAAGAAGCUAGUCGUACUCAUAAAGUUUAGGUAUAGUCUAUCAAAGUGUUAGUAUAUGGGCUUAGGAGAGGAGGAUGCAGUUACUUCAACAGCUUUCAAAAAAUGUUUACAAAGCGUUCACUGAGGCCUCAGCCCAUAGAAGUUUCCGUCCCAUCAAAGUUUUUAUCCAAGUGUUGUACAAAUAUAUAUGUAUAGUAUAUAAAUCUAUUUUGGUUAAUAUAUUACUAAUUGUCUCAUUUAUGCUUAUUCUUCAGCACAAAUUAUUAUAAACAAAACAUAACAUAUUUUUCAUAAUGUAUCUACACAUGAUGCACAAGUAAUAUCAAAUCCUAUUUCUGAUAAUAGUCAUUAUUUAUACAUUUUUCGUGGUUAACAUCAAAUUUUCAGUUGAGUAAACGUGUAGUUAUUUGUGGUUUUUAUCAAAUGUAUGAGAUAUAUCAAAUGUAUCAGAUAUAUUCAAAUAAAAAAAUAUUCGUUAA